ensembl:lncRNA
GUCAAUCCCAAUGUCAGCUGAGCAGCUUGUCAUAUGCGUACACAUGUGUGUGUCUAGAUGAUACAUAGUUUUCAGGGUGUGAACCGACAGUGACGCGUGGGGAACGCCUCGCGCACGCAACUCCGCUUCCUCUAACGGCCUCAUCAAAGCCGGGCUCCUGUGGGGAGACCAGGGAAGCAAAACAUACGAGAAAUCAGGAAAAUAGGGAGGAAUUAAUCACAUCUCUGGCAUUAUUAUUAUUUUUUACUUCUUUUUUUUUUUUUUUUAAAUUCUAGUCGAGGUGACCAGUGACGCGAGUGAACCACCGAACCUCCACCACCUCUUUCUUUUCCUCUCGCUCUCUAUUCAACAACAUUAUACUGCAGUCCAGAGAGACUGUUUGUGCCUGACGGGCAGGACAAACGUCCCUCUUUCCUUUAAGACCGGCUUGCAGAUGUGAAGCCGUCACUUGCAGGAAGGUAGGUGGGGGUGCGGUGCGAUGUUUCGUUUAUUUCGAUCUCGGGAAACGCACUGCCGAAAGAGAAAGAACACACAAAAGAAAGAUAUGGGACGUGGACUGGUGAAAAAGUGAUGGACUUUUGUGCGUCCUCAAGCUUCCUCCAUUGUCCCUAUACGCAUCACACUGUUCACGUCAGGUGACGUGGCAUGUCUCGCGAAAUGAGCGCUCAUAAACUCUUUUAUUAUCCGGAUAUUAAUAAACAUAAACACGUAUGCUUGUGGUUUUAAAUCUCUGUAAAACCACAAAUCUGCUUUCAUUACAGACUGAGGACAGAGCAUUUCUUUAAAACGCUGCUCCAUAAGCAAGGAUGAACUCAUGAAUGAGCGGUAUGUAAACAAGCAUUCCCAUUAAUGCAAAUUUUUUUUUUUUUUUUUAAACCCGGCAGCAACAGCAUAGUAUCGUUAAAUCGCGAAUAUAAUGCAGACGCUGUUCUGACUGACGCCUCUGCGGUGGUGUUUGGAGACCAGACCCAAAGCUGACACUCAAAAAUCCAGCGUACUUCGAUUUACGGUCAGGUGUAAAAGCUUACAUACUCGCAAGGCCAAAAUUCACUUAAAUAUCCUCUGAGCUCAGGAAGGCCAUUCAUGACAAACUACACACCCUUCGGCUCAUUUUGCCCUCUCUUUAGGUCCGUUAUCUUUCACAGGAUACGGCAAUACUUCGCAUUUAACAAUAUGGGGUGCACAAACUUUUGUACUCGAUUGUCCAGAACAUCAAAGCACAAAAACGUGAACUCUCCUGAACGCUAAAUUCCAUCGCUGUACUAAAAAGAACCACGCCCCUUUGCCUGGUGGAAGCAAGUACACGCUCUGGAUCAUAAGGGCUCUAUUUUUGUGAUAAUAAAGCGCACAAAAACAUGAUAUAAAGCCACCGCAUUUUAUAUUUUCGGUAUCAACGUGACCAGUCACGAUGUGAUAACGUGGCGCAUUAAAACACGGGUUGAUUUGGUAUAUCGGUAUCUGAUCCGGUCGGCUCGGAUCCGAGCGUGUGAUGAAAGAAGGGCUUCUCAUGUCAUUUUUUUGCUUAACAAACCACGAGUGCCGUAUAAAGCCCUAUAUGACCUAUAUAUAACCAGCUUCGACAACAAAACGCAAUUUCACAUCACCUUAAAACCCUGACGAAACUGUUACUGCAUUGCUUGCUCCAUUUGUUGUUACUGUUUCUGGAUUUGACUAGUUCGUAUGAGAAGUCGCCUAUUUAUGUUGAAGAGCGAACGGCGAACAAACGCGUCGAAGAAAUGGGACUCGGAAAAAGUCAGAAAAAGACCGUCGACGAUGCGUGCACAUUUUUGGACCGAAACAGGUCUGAAAAUCCCUUUGCUUUGCUGGAUUUUGAAUAUCACACCCCCCUACUGUGUUGCUCCACCUCCCUCAGCGAAGCACAUUCAUUUCUGGCCCAUAAAAACAGCGACAGGACACGCUGGCUCGCGACCAACCAAAAUAGCAACACGCUGGCUUUAACCAGCGAAUUAAGCUUGCGUCAGAACAAAAAUAGAGACAUGACGCAAUUAAGUUAUAAUUCUUUUGAUG